GGUCGUGUGGUGUAGUGGUAUUAUCAUGUUUCCUUUACACGGAAAAGGUCGCAGGUUCGAACCCUGCCACGAUCA